GAUUUCUGGUGUGGUGCGCCGAGCCCGCCGCCGCUAGGCGGUGAGUGCUUGCGUGCGCCUACCAUCCUUCCGGAAAGUGCGCUCUACCCUUAACUGGGCCGGAGCGUACGAUCUGGAUCUUUUACUUUGAAAAAAUUAGAGUGUUUAAAGCAGGCGUUUGUUAUGAAUACAUUAGCAUGGAAUAAUAAGAUAGGACUUUGGUUCUAUUUUGUUGGUUUCUAGGACUGAAGUAAUGAUUGAUAGGGACAGUUGGGGGUGCUAGUAUUUAACGGCCAGAGGUGAAAUUCUUGGAUUCGUUAAAGACUAACUUAUGCGAAAGCAUU
rnacentral:rRNA from 1 species